rnacentral:lncRNA from 1 species
AUGAAUCUACAGGAGCGAAGGAAGGAAAAGGAAAGUGAAGAACCAAGUAGAGCAGACAAACCGGCCGACGCUGGAAGCCUGUCCAAUGAAAAUGACUCUGCUGAUGUCUGCUGUGUAAUGCAAGACGACGUCUGCAGGUGUCAGCGGAAUUUUUUAUGGAAUCACCCCCCCCUCUCAACAGGGUGUCACGGUAGAUAUUUCAUGUUAACGGGUGGAUGCAGAGAGCCGCUCCAGUCCUGUCGUGCUCUAACCUCUAAAAAGGGCCGACAUCAGCAGGGUAACCUGUCGUCUCACAUGGAUGGACACUGACCUGGCCAGUGCUUUCCAGGGCAGGACACAGUCAACAAACCCCACCAUCCCAUCUCCAGAAACAACAGACCGAGAGAGGUGUCAUAUAUCCCACGAAAACAAAUGUAUUAUUAAAAUACUUCAACACUGUGCCACUGCUGGAUUUGGCGUUUUGACGAUGUAUGAUAACGGGAUUCUGUGACCCUCUGAACUAGAAAUACCAUGAUACUGAAGGAAACACAGACAAGAAGUAAAUGACUGGUGGAAUUAGCUAUUAAUACAGACGGCAGAUGAUCAUUACAUUUUGACCAUGGGAGCUUAUUAAUUAUUUGGACCUCAAGCUGAUGUCAACGUUGUCGUUCUCUCUUUAUUAGGGCCGAUUCAGGUCAACUGCUGUUUGGAUUAGGGCUAAUUAUCCCAUGGUCUCUUUCUGAUUGGCAGUCUUCUGGCGUCUGCUGGAUCACACUUCUUUUCUUUUUUAGAAAUUCUUUUCGCUAUUUUUUUUCACAUCGGGGUGGUUUUCCAAGGGUCCAUUUUGAAUCAAAUCCAAAAUUGUGAACCUGUAAAGACCUCCAUAUAAUUUGAUUAUCUUUGAAAAAAAACAUGUACAUCUUGAACCACAUUUCCUGGGAGACGACAUCAAUCUCAGCCUCAUUUGUAGACAUUGUCGACCUAACAUUGAUUCUGAGCAGAUGUUUCAAGGUGGUCUGCAACACUCUAAUUGCCACCCCUCUUCUCACUCAUCUUUUUGUCUACUCUGCACAUCCGUCCUGUGUGAAUCC